AUAAGGGGCAAGAAUCCAGAUUGGCCCAUCUGAACUCUCAUUUUCACAAAGGCACAGGAGCAUACCCAGGGUUCGGUUUACACCCAUCGCCAUUUAUAGCCACUGGGGGACCAUGGGCAGGCUGGGGUAAUGCAUAUUAAUGUUUAAAAACCACCUUAAAGUCAAA